UACGUAGGGGGCAAGCGUUAUCCGGAUUUACUGGGUGUAAAGGGAGCGUAGGCGGCUUAGUAAGUCAGAAGUGAAAGCCCGCAGCUCAACUGCGGGACUGCUUUUGAAACUGCCAAGCUAGAGUGUCGGAGAGGUAGGCGGAAUUCCCGGUGUAGCGGUGAAAUGCGUAGAGAUCGGGAGGAACACCAGUGGCGAAGACGGCCUACUGGGCUUUAACUGACGCUGAAGCACGAAAGCGUGGGUAGCAAACAGG
rnacentral:rRNA from 1 species